rnacentral:rRNA from 1 species
GACGAACGCUGGCGGCGUGCCUAAUACAUGCAAGUCGAACGAACCGCGACUAGGUGCUUGCACUUGGUCAAGGUGAGUGGCGAACGGGUGAGUAACACGUGGGUAACCUACCUCAUAGUGGGGGAUAACAGUCGGAAACGACUGCUAAUACCGCAUAGGACAUAGGAUCACAUGAUCCAGUGAGGAAAGGUGGCGCAAGCUAUCGCUAAGAGAUGGACCCGCGGUGCAUUAGCUAGUUGGUAGGGUAAAGGCCUACCAAGGCGAUGAUGCAUAGCCGACCUGAGAGGGUGAUCGGCCACAUUGGGACUGAGACACGGCCCAAACUCCUACGGGAGGCAGCAGUAGGGAAUCUUCCGCAAUGGACGCAAGUCUGACGGAGCAACGCCGCGUGAGUGAAGAAGGUCUUCGGAUCGUAAAGCUCUGUUGUUAGAGAAGAACAGCGCAUAGAGUAACUGCUAUGCGUGUGACGGAUCUACCA